rnacentral:rRNA from 1 species
AUUGAACGCUGGCGGCAUGCCUUACACAUGCAAGUCGAACGGCAGCACGGGGGCAACCCUGGUGGCGAGUGGCGAACGGGUGAGUAAUGCAUCGGAACGUGCCCAGUAGUGGGGGAUAACCAGUCGAAAGAUUGGCUAAUACCGCAUACGACCUACGGGUGAAAGCGGGGGACCGUAAGGCCUCGCGCUAUUGGAGCGGCCGAUGUCUGAUUAGCUAGUUGGCGGGGUAAGAGCCCACCAAGGCGACGAUCAGUAGCUGGUCUGAGAGGACGACCAGCCACACUGGGACUGAGACACGGCCCAGACUCCUACGGGAGGCAGCAGUGGGGAAUUUUGGACAAUGGGCGCAAGCCUGAUCCAGCCAUGCCGCGUGUCUGAAGAAGGCCUUCGGGUUGUAAAGGACUUUUGUCAGGGAGGAAAUCCUUAGCGCUAAUACCGUUGAGGGAUGACAGUACCUGAAGAAUAAGCACCGGCUAACUACGUGCCAGCCGCCGCAGUAACAC